ensembl:lncRNA
GCAUGAGUAGGAACACAUUUUUUAGAGUCCCAAUGUGAUUGCAGGCCAGCGAUGGACUACAGCCGUACAGAUGCUAACCUGGGUUUGACCGCAGAACUGUUACCGUAAUCGAGACCAGAUCCGCAGAAUGCUGAGUCCCAUUGUUCCCUAUAGCCUAUUGAAGAUGCACUGGAACCCGGAGCAUGCACAGCCCCUGAGCCAGUGGCCUGAGCAGCAUUUGGAUGUGUCCUCCACCACCUCAUCCCCUG